rnacentral:tRNA from 1 species
GCGCGGAUGGCGGAACCGGUAGACGCGCGGGACUUAGGAUCCCGUGGGGCAACCCGUCCGAGUUCGACUCUCGGUCCGCGCACCA